UCUUUGCUAGUAUAUCGGUUAGUACACGCGCCUGUCACCAGUGGGCUAUCCCAACGUGGUCGCGCGAAAGCUGGGUUCGACUCCCAGGCAGAGAG